CAGGAUCACAUGGCUAGUAAGUGUUAAGUGUCUGAGGCUGAAUCAGGACUUCAGACCUAGUGCUCUAUCCAUUGCACCAUCUAGCUACCUCAGAAGGGAGUAGUCUUUAAAAAGGCGACAUUUUAGUCAUUAUACUCAUAGGUCCAGGCUCCUAUGGUCAGUGAGUCAUUAAGUAUUUAUUAAGCAAUAUAAUGAGUGCUACCUGAAUUUAGGCUGGAUUUGAACUCAUGAAGAUGAGUCUUUCUGGUCCCAAGUCCAAUGUUCUCUCCACUGCAGCACCCAGCUGAGUGGUACCCUCUCCAGUCGUCCUGAUCUACAUCUUUCCACUGGACCCAAAUGGCUCCAGAGGAGAAAGUAAGGCUGGUGACUCUGCAUAGCCCCCAUCACUUAAAUCCAAUUCACUUGGAAGUCAUGACAUCACCUUUUGGAUGUCAUGCUCCUCUUUGGGAACAAAGGACAAGCAACAUUUAUUAAGCAUGUACUAUGACACAAGUACCAUGUGUCAGUAUUAUAUGCUUACUGCUGGGGAUACAAAAAGAGACAAAAUUGUCCAUGUUCUCAACAUGUCCUCAAUCUAAUCUCUGUAGGAUGAACAGCAAAUCACAGGACCUUGAGUAUCACUCUCAUCUCCUUCCCCAUUUUUCUUUCUUUCUCUCUGUCUCUCUCUCCUUCCUCCCCCUUUCCCUCUCUUUCCCACUCCUCCCCUUCCCUUCCCUCCCCUUUUCUUUCUUUCUUUCUCUCCUCUUCUCUCCCCCUCCCCUUAGUCGUCACUCUCUCCCCAACCCAAGUAUACAGUAAAAAAAUCAAUGGGUCUAGACAUGGAAAGUUAUGUUGACACAGUGGUCCAUUGUUCCCAGUCUUGCCAAACAGUGUAGGGGGAGACUAUUGGGGAAGGCAAAACAUAAACAGAGUUGACAGCUUUCUGUAUUAUUUACUUUUUGUCACAGGUGCCUACCUGUGACAUUUUUACCCUACCUGCAAAUUGUACCAUCCUUGCUAUCUUGGGGAGGACCUCAGAUGCAAGGGCCCAGCCCCCUUUUGCUGACAUUGACCUGUCUGAAUUGUCUUUAUUUCAUUACAAAAGUUAACAAUAAAAAUUGGCUCCAUUUUGAAGUCAUUGCUAAUCUCUAGUGAUCAGCCUGAGUUGCUACCAUGAUGUAUCUGUAAUAAACUCCUUUUAAUUCUCUUUAUCAUGAGUUUGACUCCUUUAUCACAGUGAAUCCAAAAGAAAGAAUUUUUCUUUCAACAUGAAACCAGAGAAUCUAGGCUCUGGACGUGACCCUUCUACUAUCUGGCCAGGCGACUUUAUGCAAGUCCUUUCUUCUUCAUGUCUCAAUUUCCUCACCUGUAGAAUGAGGGAAUUGAAUUAAGUGAUCUCAGAUACCUUUCAGCUCUACACUCACAAUCCCCUGACUGAGAGUCUCUUUAAAUCCCACUUCUCAAAUGCCAAGUAGAUCUCAUGAAAUCUCCACAAGAAUGUUAUAGGUCUAGAGCUGACAAAGAUAUUAAAAAGUUAUCUAGUUCAUUUUAUGGAUGAAGAAACUGGGGUUUAGAGAGGUAAUGUUAUUUGCCAAGCAUCACAUUGCUAGUGACAGAAGUGGUUUGAUUUGAAACUUAAGUUUUCUAGCUCCAAAUUCAAAAGGGAAGAGAUCACUUCUGGACCUCUCCAAAUAUAGCACUCUUUUCAGUGUACCACACUGCUACAGAGACUUUCAUGUUUAAAUGGAAAUAAUGCCUCAUAUCAUAAAAUGGUUAUUCUUUGAUCCUAAACAAUGGCCAGCUUCCUCCAACUCUUUUUAUGUUUUACACUGGAAACUUUGGAUGUUGAGGUAUCCUAAAGAAGGGGUGGGAGGAAUAAAGACCAUUACACUUGGAUGAAAUGGGAGUGAUUCUUAGAACCAAGAAAGCUGAGGAAAAGCUAUCCAUUGAUGCUGCUCUCCUGGGGAUUUCUGUUGCUUAGGAGCCUAUAUGCUGAUCUUUUUUUUUUUUUUUCAUAAUUAUAACUUUUUAUUGACAGAACCCAUGCCUGGAUGAUUUUUUACAACAUUAUCCCUUGCACUCAUUUCUGUUCCGACCUUUCUCCUUCCCCCUUCCCCCCCUUCCCCAGAUAGCAAGCAGUCCUAUAAAUGUUAAAUAUGUCACAGUACAUCCUAGAUACAAUAUAUGUGUGCAGAACCAAACAGUUCUCUUGUUGCACAGGGAGAAUUGGAUUCAAAAAGUAAAAAUAACCCAGGAGAAAAACAAAAAUGCAAACAGUUUAUAUUCAUUUCCCAAUGUUCUUUCUUUGGGUGUAGCUGCUUCUGUCCAUCCUUGAUCGAUUGAAACUGAGUUAGAUCUUCUCUUUGUUGAAGAAAUCCACUUCCCUCAGAAUACAUCCUCAUACAGUAUCGUUGUUGACGUAUAUAAUGGUCUCCUGGUUCUGCUCAUUUCACUUAGCAUCAGUUCAUGUAAGUCUCUCCAAGCCUCUCUGUAUUCAUCCUGCUGGUCAUUUCUUACAGAACAAUAAAAUUCCAUAACAUUCAUAUACCACAAUUUACCCAACCAUUCUCCAAUUGAUGGGCAUCCAUUCAUUUUCCAGUUUCUAGUCACUACAAACAGGGCUGCCACAAACAUUUUGGCACAUACAGGUCCCUUUCCCUUCUUUAGUAUCUCUUUGGGGUAUAAGUCCAGUAGAAACACUGCUGGACCAAAUUGCUCUCCAGAAUGGCUGGAUGUGUUCAUAAUUCUACCAACAAUGUAUCAGUGUUCCAGUUUUCCCACAUCCCCUCCAACAUUCCAUGUUAUCUUUCCCUGUCAUCCUAGCCAAUCUGAGAGGUGAGUAGUGGUAUCUCAGAAUUGUCUUAAUUUGCAUUUCUCUGAUUAAUGAUUUGGAACAUCUUUUCAUAUGGCUAAAAAUAAUUUCAAUUUCAUCAUCUGCGAAUUGUGUGUUCAUAUCCUUUGACCAUUUAUCAAUUGGAGAAUGGCUUGAUUUCUUAUAGAGUCAAUUCUCUAUAUAUUUUGGGACUGAGGCCUUUAUCAGAACCUUUAGCUGUAAAAAUGUUUUCCCAGUUUAUUGCUUCUCUUCUAAUCUUGUCUGCAUUUGUUUUGUUUGUACAGAAACUUUUCAAUUUGACAUAAUCAAAAUUUUCUAUUUUGUGAUCAAUAAUGAUCUCUAAUUCUUCUUUGGUCAUAAAUUUCUUCCUCUUCCAUAGGUCUGAGAGGUAAACUACCCUAUGUUCUUCUAUAAAUAAAUUAUAAUUUAUUUAUAAUCUCAUUUUUUAUGUCUAGGUCAUGAACCCAUUUUGACCUUAUCUUGGUGUAUAGUGUUAAGUGUGGGUCAAUGCCUAGUUUCUGCCAUACUGAUUUCCAAUUUUUCCAGCAAUUUUUGUCAAAUAGUGAGUUCUUAUCCCCAAAACUGGGGUCUUUGGGUUUGUCAAACACUAGAAUAUUAAAAUUAUUGGCUGUUUUGUCCUUUAAACCUAAUCUAUUCCAUUGAUCAACUAGUCUAUUUCUUAGCCAAUACCAAAUGGUUUUGGUAACCGCUGCUUUAUAAUAUAAUUUUAGAUCUGGUACAGCUAGGCCACUUUCAUUUGAUUUUUUUUUUCAUUAAUUCCCUUGAAAUUCUUGACCUUUUAUUUUUCCAUAUGAACUUUGUUGUUAUUUUUUCUAGGUCUAUAUGCUGAUCUUAAAGUAUAUUAGCACUGUUUCCGCUUUCCAAGGUCUCCUAUGUCUCAAAGUCAUUCAUAAUAAUAUGCUCCGUUGUUGACUUUUCCUCCUUUCCAAGUAGACUUCUGUUGGGAGCUCUAAUGGGAGUAUUUUGUAACCCUUAUAAUUCUAUAUCAAUAUGAAUUAUUGUUACCAAUAUCACCCUCAAAUGCAGUAGUGUAGAACAGAGAACCUUAAACAAUAAUUUGUGGGAGUCAUUCUCUUGGACAGACAAAAGUCUAAGGCUUUGACUAUACAAUGCCUAAACCAAUAGUCCAACUGGGGAAAAGAGUCCUAUCACUGGCUCCAUGUAAAUGAGUGUAGUUGAAGUGUUUGCUUUUUAACUGUCUUUAAUCCGUUGAUCAACCAGUCAAUUGACAUUUAUUACAUGGUCACUAGGUUGUUGUUUAUCCUUCAUUUUCAAAAAGGACCAACAACAUUAUAAAGGUUAUAUCUUGAUUUGCUCAAGAAUUGAAUUUAAGUGAGGCAGAAUUGCACAAAGUUGUCAUUUUCACUCUCUCUUCUGGAAUUCUUGAAGUCCAGUGUCAAGACAAAAGUCACAACACUAGGUAUAGCCCAGGAAUCAGUGGAUGACUUUUGACCUUUCUAAAUUAAAGUCUUUCUCAAGCCUCAGUUUUUCUGAGGUAACAUCCCUAUAAUGAAUGAUGAAGAACUAGUUAAAAAUUCAGAUGAUCUAGUUAUUAUCACAAAACUAGAACUCUAGUUCUAGACUAGAACUCUAAAAUUGAAACAAAGGAUCUUACAAGGUACUAAAUCAGUGGAAUUGAUAGCGACAAUAGUUAUCUAAUUUAGCAUGGUUCAGUAUGAUUGAUUUAAUCCUACAAGGAGAUGUUAUGGGCCAGAACUUGAAACAAGGUAUUAAGUGGAAUUGAGGAAACAAUGGUUAAAUGUAGUUUAGCAUUGAUUUAAUCCUACAACAAAUAAUGGUUUCCUAGUGAUAUAAUGAUUGGUUUAUAAUCAGUGUGGGGCAUAUAAGCUAGGAGCCUCAGCCCAGAUUCAGAAGCCAGAGAAGGCAGGUGGGAGCUCAAGCUCUUGGAACCAAGGAGAAAGAUAGGCCUCCAGAAAAACUAGCUGAGCUCCAAGUGAAGGAGACAAUAAAGAAUUUGGACUUUAACCCCUGGCUGCAUGUGUGGUGAUUACUGAACUGAAACCAAUGCUGCCUUCAGCGACCCCAAGAAAACCUCCAUCAGAGAACAUUACACUUUAGAGAGAAUAUUACAAAGAUUCUCAAGGUUUCUGGACAGAAUGGAAAACACUUGCUAUUUACACUUAUUCUAAGGUACUAUGCUAAAUGAGGGUACCGAUAAAGUGGUGAAAUAUUCCCCUUCCUGGAAGAGUUUACAUUCUAUUGGGGGAGAAGGUGUAAUAGAAUAUGAAAGGUUUACCAAUAAUACAAAAUGAAUACAAAAUAAAUCUCUCCAUAUUAGGGACAAGAAGUAAUUUCUGAGGGAUUCAGGAAAGGCUUCUUGAAGGAAGUAGCUAAGCUUUGAAGGGAGCUAGGGAUUCUAAGAAGCAUUGGUGAGGAGGAAAAUAUUCCAGGCAUGGGGGGAAAACCCCAUAAAGAUACAAGAAGUGGGCAAUGGAAUAUCUUGUAUGAGAAACAUAAAGCAUGACUGGAAAACAUUGUUUUAUGGGAAGUAAUGUGUCAUAAGUUUAGAGAUAAGGUGGGUAAUCAUCAAUUGGGCAACAGUUGAACAAAUCAUGGUAUAGGAAUGCAAUAGAAUAAUACUGCACUAUAAGAGAGAUCCAGAGAUUGGGAAGAAAGAGUAUAGAAGUGAUGCAGAGUGAAAUGUGUAGAAUGAUAGCCAUUUACACAAUGAGCACAAUAAUAGAGAAAAACUUUGAAAGACUUUGGAACUUUAAUCAAAGUAAUAAUCAGUUAUGAUUACUGAAGACCAAGGAGGAAGCACACUUCCUAUUUCAUGUAGAGAAGUCAUGGACUAGACAAAAGUACAAGCUAAACACUUUCAUACUUGACCAAUGUGCUCAUUGUUUUGCUUGACGACUAUGCUUGUUUGUUAUGAGAGAAUUUGUGUGUGUGUGUGUGUGUGUGUGUUUAUAGCAUGGGCAGUGGGGAAGAGAGGUGUGAAAAGUAGGUAGUGUUAGAGAUGUCAAACUUUUUUUUUUUAAAGAACAUCAAUAAAACAUUUUUUAAAAUAGAAGAAAAAAUUCAAAAGGGGAUCUAAAUAGCAAUUUUGUUGCUAUCAUGUUAAAUUUAAUAAGUACUUUGAAAAAUAAAUUGUAACAAAUGUUUUGGGUCUUAUACACAGUUUUGCAUAGUCUUUAUACAUUGAAAUGUUUUCAUUUGUUGAUGAUUAUUGAGUUAAUCAUAAAGAGGAAAAAAUUAACUUUAAAAAGGAAAAUGAAAAAUGCUCUGAACCAUUAGAGAAAUACAAAUUAAAAUAACUAUGAGAUACCACCUCUCACAGCCAUCAGAAUGGCUAAUAUGACAGAAAAGGAAAAUGAUAAAUAUUGGAAGGAAUGUGGGAAAACUGGGACACUAAUGUGUUCUUGGUCAAGUUGUAAACUGAUUCAAUCAUUCUGGAGAGCAAUUUAGAGCUAUGCCAAAGGGCUAUAAAACUGCAUUCCUUUUGACCCAGCAGUGCCAUUACUAGAUCUGUAUCCCACAGAUAUUUUUUUAAAAAGGGAAAGAACCUAUGUGUUUAAAAACGUUUAUAGCAGCUCUUUUUGUUUUAGCUAAGAAUUGGACAUUGAGAGGAUAUCCAUCAAUUGGGGAAAUGUUUGAACAAGUUGUGGCACGUGAUUACAAUGGAAUAUUAUUAUUGUAUAAGAAAUUAUAAGCAAGAUGAUUUCAAAAAAACUAGAAAGAUUUACAUGAACUGAUAGAAAGUGAAGUGAGGAGAAUCAGGAGAAUAUUAUACACAAUAAUACAAUAUUGAUUGAUGAGGAAUUGUGAAUGACUUAGCUAGUCUCAGCAAUAUCCAAGACAAUCCCAAAGGCCUCAUGAUGAAAAGUGCCAUCUAUCUCCAAAAAAGUGAUGUCAUUUGAACACAGGCUGAGACAUGCCAUUUUCCUCUUCCUUCCUUUCUUCUUUUUUCCUUCCUUUCUUCCUUCUCCCCCCUCUCUCUUUUCUCUCCCUCUUUUUCUUUCUUUCUUGGCAUAGAGAUAGAAUCAGCAAGAUUUGGCAAUUGAUUGGAUAUAAGUGAUAAGAAAAAGCAAAGGAUCAAGGAUGCCUUUUUGGGUUGCAAACCAAAUUGACAUCCAGGUAAAAUCAGCAAGAUUUGGCAAGAUUGACAAACCAAAUUGACACCCAACCAAUCUUUGAAGAACAGUGAUUCAUUCAACAGAAAUAAGGAAUUUAAGGGGAUGGAUGGCAUUGGGGGAAGAUAAAAGAAUUAAAUUUUGGACAUGUUCAGUUGGAAAUGCCUAUAGUUUGUUCAGGUAGAGAUAACCAGCAGGUAGUUCUGCAGGGGGACUGAAAUUCAGGAGACAAGAAAGCAAGAUCAGUAGAUUUGGGUCAUCUGUACAUCUGUAGCUGAAUCUCUGUGAGGUAACAUGGUCAACAAGAGAGAGAGAGUAAGGAGAGAAUAGUUUCAGUCAAAUGGUGAUGAUGGAAACUAGAUUUCAAGGGGCUAUGAAAUGAAUGAGAGGGGGUUGAAAGGUGACAAAGUGGAGGCACUUUGUGAAGAUAGCUUUUUUUUCCCCUAGGAGUUGAGAAAUGGAAGAAAGAGAUGAGGACUUAAGCGGAUGAUAGACUCGCAGUUUUUUUGUUUUAAAGGAUGAAAGAGAUCUGGCAUGCUUACAGGAAGUAGGCAAAUAGUCAGUGGAAGAAAAGAUUAAAUAUUAGGGGGAAAGAGAAGAUAAUUGAAAUGGCAAGCUUCUGAAGGAGAAUGGAGAGAAUGAACUCCUGGGUAUAAAGCAACUGGGGUGCUCUUGGAAAGAACAAAGAAUUCUUCCUCCAAGAUUUGAGCAAAAGAGAGUAACUGUUUGAAAAAGGCACUCAGUGUUUCCACUUCUUCUCACUCCUAAACCCACUGCAAUCUGGCUUUUGACCUCAUCAUUCAAAUAAAACUGCUCUUUUUAAAGUUACCAGUGAUCUCUUAGUUGCCAAACGGAAUGGCCUUUCUUCUCACCCUUCACUUUCUCUGCAACCUUACAUUCUGUCAAUUACUUUCCUUCUCUGGAUACUCUCCUUUCCAGUUUUUUUGUUUUUUUUUUUAAUAUUACUCUUUUGGUUCUUGUAUCUAUCAGACCGUUCCCUGUCUUCUCUGCUCAAUCUUCACCUACAUCCAUUUUUUUUAACUGCAUAUGUUCUCCCAAAUUUUAUUCUGGGUCCUUUUUUUUUUCCUCUAUACUAUUUCACUUGAUCUCAGCAGCUUCCAUCAGUUCAAUUAUCUCUAUAUAGUUGUUUCUGCAAUCUAAUUUUAACUUCUCUAUGCCACCAAUUGCCUCUUGAACAUCUC
rnacentral:lncRNA from 1 species